ACAAACUUGGUCAUUUAGAGGAAGUAAAAGUCGUAACAAGGUUUCCGUAGGUGAACCUGCGGAAGGAUCAUUACCAAUCCUUUAUUCUCCAACCCCUGUGAACUUGUAACGUCUUUGGGUGAAAGCAGAGACUUAUUUUUGCGAAUUGGACGGGGGUGAUUCAUUUUUUGAGUCACACCCUCAAAAGUCACAAGAAUAAUGUUCUUCAGAGUCACCCAUAUGUUUUACAAACCACUUAAAUUUUGUUGAAAAACUAUCUUCUAAGCUUCACGGCUCGAAGAUUUUUACAAAACAAAAUACAACUUUUAACGGUGGAUCUCUUGGCUCAUGCAUCGAUGAAGAACGCAGC
rnacentral:misc_RNA from 1 species